AUUUUUCAUUGUUUAUCUUUACCUUUUUUUUCUUUUUUUCCGACAAAACCUUUCUUAUCUUCUUCUUUUACUUUUUGUAUCCAGCGAUCUUCUUUCUUAAUUUUAUUUUUUCCUCAAUUAAUUCUUAAGCUUUUCUGAUUUUCUUUCUCGUUUAUUUUUCCCUCGUUUUACACUGUCUCUCUAUUUAGAUCUAUCUUUUUCAGAUCUAUUUUUUUUCUCUGCAAAACACACCUCUUUUAUACGACCAUCUUUGCUAACAAUCCUCCACUUUCAUUAAUAUCACUGCUUAUUCUCGACCAUCGCCGCCGUCGUAGUUUCUCUCAGAACCACCGUCGUCGCAGUUUCUUUCUGGACCACCGCCGUCGAAGUUUCUUGCAGACCACCACGGUUGCAGUUUCUUUCAAGACACCGCCGUCGCCGUUUCUGGUGGAGGAAGAAGAAGCUGAAGAACCCAAGAAGGCUCAACAAAAGAGGUUGUGCUCCGUGUCUCCUCCGAGCAACCAAACGACGUCGAAGAAGUACUUGGCCGAAGCAACGAGUUUGGUUCUCUCCCUUCAAACCAACUCCCCGUACCGCGGACUUUAAGUGGCUAUCUCAUUUCUUCGAUUCCUUCACGGAAUAUUCGGCUCCAAGUCCAACCGGGAUACCGGUUGAAAAACCUGUGUGGUUAUCCAGUAACACCCAGUGACACCAGCCUCUGAAGAGUCUUGUUUCAAGUUGCCUCUUCCAGCCAAAGCCCGUAGCAGACGGAACCGGUUUGGAGUCAAAGCCUGGUCGCGCGGCUCGCCUCGGUCUUCCUCAGCAAUGGUGCAGUCACUGUGGCGUUCCGAAAACUCUGUAUUAUGUAUUCCUGGGUUGUGUUAUUAAUCAAAUCUUGUGUUAUGUUAUCUGGAGUUUAACGACAUACUGUAUUCUGGCUUCCAUUAUCAAUAUUUGGCUUCCUUGUACCUGUAUGAUUUCAAAUGGUAACGUAUAAAGUUGUGUUAAGGAAA